UACUACGGGGGCUAGCGUUGCUCGGGAUCACUGGGCGUAAAGCGCACGUAGGCGGAUUCCUAAGUCGGGGGUGAAAUCCUGGAGCUCAACUCCAGAACUGCCUUCGAUACUGGGAAUCUUGAGUCCGGAAGAGGUGAGUGGAACUGCGAGUGUAGAGGUGAAAUUCGUAGAUAUUCGCAAGAACACCAGUGGCGAAGGCGGCUCACUGGUCCGGUACUGACGCUGAGGUGCGAAAGCGUGGGGAGCAAACAGG
rnacentral:rRNA from 1 species